CACAACACCUUACAAUGGUACUUUACAUAAAAGUACAGUCAAUAACUGUUUUAAAAAUUAAAAUCUUUGGAAAAUGCUCAAGGAAACCUUCGUACAUGGGAGGCCAUGCAUUUAAGUUAUGAUAGAUAUCAUAUGACUCGAGAAUUAUCCUUGGUUGACCCAAUAGACCCCAAAGAAAAAUGAGAAGAAUACUAUCAUGUUCUUUCUAAUUGUGAGUCUUUUGUUGACAUAUAAUUAUCUCCAUUGUCUCAAAUUAAGAAUUAUAUUUCAACCAAACUCCAAGAUUAUAUAGGUAGUGCUCAUAGAUAUAAUCAGCAAGUGCAUGUGCAGAACCCUGUCUUAUGAUAACACAAAUUCGUCUGUCAUUAGACAUCUUGUAUAAUAGUGGCAAAAUGCCCUUCCAAAGUUGGGUUCACCUCACCCUAUUCGGUUCACCAAAAUCAAAGGUUAAAAUGACGUAUAAAAUACAACACACUUAUCUAUAAUUCUCAAUUAAAUUAUUUCUAUACUGUUUUAGGGGAAACCUCAACACCUAUAGACCAUCGUUCUAUUCCCCUGUUACCCCCGCUCGACCCAGUUACACUCUUAUUACCUGAAAGAAAUUGUGAAGUAAAAGGGUGAGCACAACUAGCCCAGUAAAGAAUAUCAUGACUAAAGAUAAUUAAAUUAUCAAUAGCCUUCUUCAGUAAUAAAUCAGAGAUUUAGAACAUAUGGUAGAUGAUAAAACUUUUCAACCAUAGUGGCAGCGGAACGAGC
rnacentral:lncRNA from 1 species